GAUGAACGCUGGCGGCGUGCCUAAUACAUGCAAGUCGAGCGAAUGGAUUAAGAGCUUGCUCUUAUGAAGUUAGCGGCGGACGGGUGAGUAACACGUGGGUAACCUGCCCAUAAGACUGGGAUAACUCCGGGAAACCGGGGCUAAUACCGGAUAACAUUUUGAACCGCAUGGUUCGAAAUUGAAAGGCGGCUUCGGCUGUCACUUAUGGAUGGACCCGCGUCGCAUUAGCUAGUUGGUGAGGUAACGGCUCACCAAGGCAACGAUGCGUAGCCGACCUGGGAGGGGGAUCGGCGACACUGGGACUGAGACACGGCCCAGACUCCUACGGGAGGCAGCAGUAGGGAAUCGUCCGCAAUGGACGAAAGUCUGACGGAGCAACGCCGCGUGAGUGAUGAAGGCUUUCGGGUCGUAAAACUCUGUUGUUAGGGAAGAACAAGUGCUAGUUGAAUAAGCUGACACCUUGACGGUACCUAACCAGAAAGCCACGGCUAACUACGUGCCAGCCGCCGCAGUAA
rnacentral:rRNA from 1 species